UGUGCAAACCCAUGCAAAGCUGA
rnacentral:miRNA from 1 species